GAAAUACAUUGGCAGUCGAACGCACAGCGAAAGGUGCUUGCACCUUUCAAGUGAGUGGCGAACGGGUGAGUAACACGUGGACAACCUGCCUCAAGGCUGGGGAUAACAUUUGGAAACAGAUGCUAAUACCGAAUAAAACUUAGUGUCGCAUGACACAAAGUUAAAAGGCGCUUCGGCGUCACCUAGAGAUGGAUCCGCGGUGCAUUAGUUAGUUGGUGGGGUAAAGGCCUACCAAGACAAUGAUGCAUAGCCGAGUUGAGAGACUGAUCGGCCACAUUGGGACUGAGACACGGCCCAAACUCCUACGGGAGGCUGCAGUAGGGAAUCUUCCACAAUGGGCGAAAGCCUGAUGGAGCAACGCCGCGUGUGUGAUGAAGGCUUUCGGGUCGUAAAGCACUGUUGUAUGGGAAGAACAGCUAGAAUAGGAAAUGAUUUUAGUUUGACGGUACCAUACCAGAAAGGGACGGCUAAAUACGUGCCAGCAGCCGCGGUAAUACGUAUGUCCCGAGCGUUAUCCGGAUUUAUUGGGCGUAAAGCGAGCGCAGACGGUUUAUUAAGUCUGAUGUGAAAGCCCGGAGCUCAACUCCGGAAUGGCAUUGGAAACUGGUUAACUUGAGUGCAGUAGAGGUAAGUGGAACUCCAUGUGUAGCGGUGGAAUGCGUAGAUAUAUGGAAGAACACCAGUGGCGAAGGCGGCUUACUGGACUGCAACUGACGUUGAGGCUCGAAAGUGUGGGUAGCAAACAGGAUUAGAUACCCUGGUAGUCCACACCGUAAACGAUGAACACUAGGUGUUAGGAGGUUUCCGCCUCUUAGUGCCGAAGCUAACGCAUUAAGUGUUCCGCCUGGGGAGUACGACCGCAAGGUUGAAACUCAAAGGAAUUGACGGGGACCCGCACAAGCGGUGGAGCAUGUGGUUUAAUUCGAAGCAACGCGAAGAACCUUACCAGGUCUUGACAUCCUUUGAAGCUUUUAGAGAUAGAAGUGUUCUCUUCGGAGACAAAGUGACAGGUGGUGCAUGGUCGUCGUCAGCUCGUGUCGUGAGAUGUUGGGGUUAAGUCCCGCACGAGCGCACCCCUUAUUGUUAGUUGCCACCAUUCAGAUGGGGACUCUAUCGAGACUGCCGGUGACAAACCGGAGGAAGGGGGGGAGAAAAUCCAAAUAUCAUGCGCCUUUUAACUGGGGUACCACCUGCUCAAAGGGGGUAACAACAGAUUGCCACCCCCCGGGGGGAGUAAUCCUUAAA
rnacentral:rRNA from 1 species